rnacentral:tRNA from 1 species
GGCUGCCGUAGCUCAGGGGUAGAGCACUCCCUUGGUAAGGGAACGCCGCAGACAAGAUUUUCCCUAUAAAAUCAAAUACUAAGCCUCGAGCUAGGAGCGCAGUGCACGGAUUUUGCACGGAGUGGCGGGCGGCACCCGAGCAAUCAUCGUUUUACGGCCUGUCGCGGUCG